GACGAACGCUGGCGGCGUGCUUAACACAUGCAAGUCGAACGGAAAGGCCCUGCUUUUGUGGGGUGCUCGAGUGGCGAACGGGUGAGUAACACGUGAGUAACCUGCCCUUGACUUUGGGAUAACUUCAGGAAACUGGGGCUAAUACCGGAUAGGAGCUCCUGCUGCAUGGUGGGGGUUGGAAAGUUUCGGCGGUUGGGGAUGGACUCGCGGCUUAUCAGCUUGUUGGUGGGGUAGUGGCUUACCAAGGCUUUGACGGGUAGCCGGCCUGAGAGGGUGACCGGCCACAUUGGGACUGAGGUACGGCCCAGACUCCUACGGGGGGCAGCAGUGGGGAAUAUUGCACAGUGGGCGGAAGCCUGAUGCAGCAACGCCGCGUGCGGGAUGACGGCCUGCGGGUUGUAAACCGCUUUCGCCUGUGACGAAGCGUGAGUGACGGUAAUGGGUAAAGAAGCACCGGCUAACUACGUG
rnacentral:rRNA from 1 species